UUUUAGGUGUAGGGCACGUUAAAUUUUGGAUUUAAGGGGAAUGAUUCGUUUCAUUAAAAUUAAUAA
rnacentral:tRNA from 1 species